GUCCUUAGUUACCAGCACGUUAUGGUGGGCACUCUAAGGAGGACUGCCGGUGGACAAACCGGAGGAAGGUGGGGAUGACGUCAAGUCAUCAUGGCCCUUACGGCCUGGGCUACACACGUGCUACAAUGGUCGGUACAAAGGGUUGCCAAGCCGCGAGGUGGAGCUAAUCCCAUAAAACCGAUCGUAGUCCGGAUCGCAGUCUGCAACUCGACUGCGUGAAGUCGGAAUCGCUAGUAAUCGUGAAUCAGCCAUGGCGCGGUGAAUACGUUCCCGGGCCUU
rnacentral:rRNA from 1 species